rnacentral:lncRNA from 1 species
UGAGCCCCAUUCAUCCCAAUCUGACCCCAUUCAUCUCAAUCUGCCCCCAUUCAUUCCAAUGACCCCAUUCAUUCUAUUGAUCCCCAUUCAUUCUAUUGAUCCCCAUUCAUCCCAAUGAGCCUCAUUCAUUCUAUUUAUCCCUAUUCAUUCCAAUGAGCCCCAUUCAUUCCAAUCUGCCCCACUGAUUCAUCCCAAUCUGCCCCCAUUCAUUCUAAUGACCCCCAUUCAUUCCAGUUUGCCCCCAUCCAUCCCAAUCUGCCCCCAUUCAUUCUAUUGAGCCCCAUUUAUUCUAAUGAGCCCCAUUCAUUCUAUUAAGCCCCAUUGAUUGCAAUGACCCCCACUCAUUCUAAUGAGCCCCCAUCCACCCUAAUGAGCCCCAUUCAUUCUCAUGAGCCCCCAUUCAUCCUAAUGAGCCCCAUUCGUCCCAAUCCGCCCCCAUUCAUUCUAUUGAUCCCCAUUCAUUCCAUUGACCCCCAUUCAUCCCAAUGAGCCCCAUUCAUUCCAGUGAGCCCCAUUGAUUCCAAUGAACCCCACUGAUUCUAAUUAACCCCCAUUCUAAUGAGCCUCCAUUGAUUCUAUUGAGCCUCCAUUCGUUCCAAUGACCCACAUUCAUUCCAAUGUUCUCCAUUCAUUCCAAUGAGCCCCAUUCAUUCCAAUGAGCCCCAUUGAUUCCAAUGAGCCCCACUGAUUCUAAUUAACCCCCAUUCUAACGAGCCUCCCUUGAUUCUAUUGAGCCUCCAUUCAUUCCAAUGAGCCCCAUUGAUUCCAAUGAGCCCCACUGAUUCCAAUGAACCCCACUGAUUCUAAUUAACCCCCAUUCUAAUGAGCCUCCAUUGAUUCUAUUGAGCCCCCAUUCAUUCCAAUGACCCCCACUCAUUCCCAUGACCCCCAUUCAUUCCAAUGACCCCUCUUCAUUCCCAUGACCCCCAUUCAUUCUAUUGACCCCCAUUCAUUCCAUUGACCCCCAUUCAUCCUAAUGAGCCCCAUUCAUUCCAGUCUGCCCCCAUUCAUCCCAGUCUGCUGCCAUUCAUCCCAAUGAGCCCCAUUCAUUCUCAUGAGCCCCCAUUCAUCCUAAUGACCCCCAUUCGUCCCAAUCCGACCCCAUUCAUUCUACUGAGCCCCAUUC